CACAGGCUUCUGGCUGUGUUGGGGGUGGGGUGCAUGCUUCACUAGCAGGAGCUGAUUCUGCCUUGAAAAGGAGCUGGCCUCUGAGCCCCCGGACUGAAGGCAGGGAGGGUGCAGUUCCCAGAGACCUCCGAGUGCCUGCCCAGCCCGUGGGUGUGCAGCUGGUGGCUCCCUGAGAACAUUAGCCACCCUGCAAAUGCCCAGGAAGGCAGAGGCUAAAAAUAUACGUAGUGCCCAGGUCCAGGAAUGCAGGCCCUGCCAUUCAUUCCUUGGUAUCCUGCCCAAAGUGGAGGGCACUUGGGUGAGGUCUGAGAAGGCGACAGUUGUGCCAGGCCUAAGUCGACCUGGACGUUCACUGGCAUGGCUUGUUUUCCAGGCUGGGGCACAUGUAUCCAGCACCUCCACUAUAAGCAGCUCUUUACUGUGCACAGGUCUGAACAGCCCACCUGCCUGGUAAUCACCAGGCUUUAGACCAGCGAGCCCAAGGAUUUGGAGGAAUGAGCUGGGGCUUCUGGGAAACCCUGGGCCACUUGGACUGCCUGCCUCAGUUUCUUCAUUUGCCUGUCCAUCUCACUGGUGUGCUUGAGGACCCCGGAAGAUCAUGCCUGUGAAGGGCUUUGAGAGUAACCAGGGGCUAUUCUGGAGGAACGUGUAGGAACUGGGUGUGCUGAGGGCACUGGGAGGGCCAUAGGGACAGCUGGAGAGGUUUCUGCUGCAGCCACAAGCCACUCAUUACGUGCUUGCUCUGUGUAUGUAGGAGCAUGCCGUGGUCCCCAGUGACAGGUGGGGAGACAUGGAGUAAGGACCCUGCUCCACGUUGCAUCACCAGUCUAGCUGGGGUGGCACAGGCCAGCAUCCUGCAGCAGAUCUCAUCAGAUGGCAAAACCAGAUGCUUCCCCAGAUGCCGUUCCGCAAGAUGGAGCUCUCUGGAGUGCUGGUUACUUCUGCGCCCAAGCCAGUGGGCUGUCUCUCCUGGAUGCCAAAUUAGGGCUGUACAAGCAUGGCAUCGCCAGCUGCUCGGCUUCCGGGGGUCCUCAGGGAGCUUCCACUCAGGCAGAAGGGGAAGCAGGAGCAGGCACAUUACCCGGCGAGAAGAGGAACAGGAAAGAGUGCGGGGCGGUGCCACACGCCUCUAAACAAUCAGAUCUUGGAGAACUCACUAUGGCAGGACAGCACCAAGCCACGAGGGAUCUGUCCCCAGGACCCAGACACCUCCCGCCAGGCCCACUUCCAGCACUGGUAGCCACAGUUCAACAGGAGAUUUGGAGGGGAUGAACAUCCAACCUAUAGCAAGCUGGAAGUCUGAAUGUGACGAGAAGUCUCCUGAUUUUGUUUGUCGGCUACUCCUACAACUGCCCCAUAACACUGUGCCCCGGAUUCUUCCCGAGGUGGGAGGACCGAGGGCAGAGGCUCCUGGCCCAGUCACCCAACCCCACUUCCGGGCUUCAGCUCUUGGGCCAGGUGGGCACACUCUGUCUUCUUUUUCUUGUGCAAGUGACAUCCCAGGUGCCAUUUCUCGAGGUUGCCAGGCUUCCCAGCCUCUGGCUCCUGCUUGUGUCUUUGUAGGGGAGGUGGCUAUGAUGGUGACAGCACAUUCGAAGCAGCAGUGGUUACAGUUUCCUUCUAAAAAUACAUUGAAGACAGAGUCAAAUGUAAGGGGGUGACUUCUGGUUCAGCACAGCGUGCAGAGCACACGCUUCUCCCUGGAUCUUGGACCACAGAGGGGACACUGCUGACCUUGCUCCUCUGGGGCAUCCCCUCCCUAGACUCACGGGAGGACCACAGAGGACACGGCUGACCCUGCUUAUCUGUGGGCAUCUCCUCUCUGGCUCAGCUGGAAGACAGACAGCUGGGCAGUACCAACUGGGCAGACCAGGGAGAGGCAGAGCCCAGGCACACAGGGUGGGGAAUCCCCAGGACCCCAGAGGGACUCCAUCCAGAAGGCCAGGCAGCUCUGAAGGUGGAGCAUGGGGUGGACUGGGAGCUCAGACCCACCCCUAGGAGACUGCUUUUCCUACAGAUGCAGGCAGAAGACAGGGGUCCAGGUGCUGCUCUCAGGAGUCAGGGCUGGGAGGUUCUGGGCUGGGGCCAGGGGUAGGCACAGCCUGUGAGAGAGCAAGGCACUGAGGAGGGCCAGGAGAUCAGGUCACAGCCACAUCCUGAAAGGUGGCCUGAGCCCUUUACUCUGCUCCCUCCCCGAGUGCCAACAGCCUGAUGUGUCUCCCGGGUGGGAGGUGGGGGCUCUGUGGAAUUGCGCUGGCCUCUUAAGAACCCUGACCACAUAUUCAGACCUUGCUGCUUCCCCCUCUGAGGUCCACCCUGGAGCAGCCCCUCAUCCCCCUACACCCACACUGCUCCACCUCAGCACUUUUGAGCCUCUCAUGAAGACACGUGGACCCCAAGGGUCACUGGACUUUGAAGAAGAAAAAGACCCCACACGAAAGACAGAUCCCACAUCCCCAUGCACCAAAGAAGGGAGCUUGGGGGAAAGAGUAGCAACCUGAGGAACAAAAAAUAUAAAAAAGAAAAAACCUUAUUGCUGAUACCCUUGGAGAGAGAAGAGAAAACAGCACAUCCAUGACCUAAGAACAGGAUGUAAUAAAAAAGGAACAGUGAGAAAUUAAGAAAGAGCUCUUGGAAAUGAAAAAAAAAAAGCACAAAUGAAAACUUCCAUAAAAGAUAAAUUUCUCAGGCGGGGCGUGGUGGCUCACAUGUGUAAUCUCAGCACUU